UGGGGAAUAUUGGGCAAUGGGGCGAAAGCCUGACCCAGCAACGCCGCGUGAAGGAAGAAGGUUUUCGGAUUGUAAACUUCUUUUAUCAGGGACGAAGAAAGUGACGGUACCUGAUGAAUAAGCCACGGCUAACUACGUGCCAGCAGCCGCGGUAAUACGUAGGUGGCAAGCGUUAUCCGGAUUUACUGGGUGUAAAGGGCGCGUAGGCGGGGAUGCAAGUCAGAUGUGAAAUCUAUGGGCUUAACCCAUAAACUGCAUUUGAAACUGUAUCUCUUGAGUGUCGGAGAGGUAGGCGGAAUUCCUAGUGUAGCGGUGAAAUGCAUAGAUAUUACUCAGAACACCGA
rnacentral:rRNA from 1 species